rnacentral:rRNA from 1 species
GAUGAACGCUGGCGGCGUGCUUAACACAUGCAAGUCGAACGAAGCAUUUAGGACAGAUUACUUCGGUUUGAAGUUCUUUAUGACUGAGUGGCGGACGGGUGAGUAACGCGUGGGUAACCUGCCUUGUACUGGGGGAUAGCAGCUGGAAACGGCUGGUAAUACCGCAUAAGCGCACAAUGUUGCAUGACAUGGUGUGAAAAACUCCGGUGGUAUAAGAUGGACCCGCGUCUGAUUAGCUAGUUGGUGAGAUAACAGCCCACCAAGGCGACGAUCAGUAGCCGACCUGAGAGGGUGACCGGCCACAUUGGGACUGAGACACGGCCCAGACUCCUACGGGAGGCAGCAGUGGGGAAUAUUGCACAAUGGAGGAAACUCUGAUGCAGCGACGCCGCGUGAGUGAAGAAGUAAUUCGUUAUGUAAAGCUCUAUCAGCAGGGAAGAUAGUGACGGUACCUGACUAAGAAGCUCCGGCUAAAUACGU